rnacentral:rRNA from 1 species
UACGGAGGGUGCAAGCGUUGUCCGGAUUUAUUGGGUUUAAAGGGUGCGUAGGCGGCUUUUUUAAGUCAGUGGUGAAAUACAGCAGCUCAACUGUUGAGGUGCCAUUGAUACUGAGAGGCUUGAGUACAGAUGAGGUAGGCGGAAUUUAUGGUGUAGCGGUGAAAAUGCAUAGAUACCAUAAAAGAACACCGAUUGCGAAGGCAGCUUACUAAGCUGUAACUGACGCUGAGGCACGAAAAGCGUGGGGGAGCGAACAGG